rnacentral:sRNA from 1 species
AUAAAAUGCUGGAUGACAGAAGUACAGCAUGGGUGGUAGCAGCUGUGCAAACUUCCUAAUACUGCCCUGCUAAUGUGCCUCAACCCUGAUCUACCUGACUAAGAUGAAAGCGUAAUGAAGUCUCCAUCUUAUUUAGUCUUCAGCUUCU